rnacentral:tRNA from 4 species
GGCAAGAUGGCCGAGUUGGUCCAUGGCGCGAGGUUAAGGUCAUAAUCUUAACACGAUUUCCUCGUGGGGAAACCCUCGUGGGUUCGAAUCCCACUCUUGUCA